UGAGCGCAGAAACUACAAAGUGCUAGUCCUGGAGGUCAAAAUCCACAAGGUGAAGGACCUGAACAGCCGAAACUGUGGAGUGCUUGUACUGGAGGUCGAGUUCCACCAGGUAGCGUACCUGGAGCACAGGAAUUGUGUCCUAGAAGUGAAGUUUCACCAGGUAGCGGACCCGAAGCGCACGAACUACGGAGCGCUUGUCCCGAAAGUCGAGAUUCACCAGGUAGUGGACCU